rnacentral:rRNA from 1 species
UAGCUAGUUGGUGAGGUAAAGGCUUACCAAGGCGACGAUCUGUAGCGGGUCUGAGAGGAUGAUCCGCCACACUGGAACUGAGACACGGUCCAGACUCCUACGGGAGGCAGCAGUGGGGAAUUUUGGACAAUGGGGGCAACCCUGAUCCAGCCAUGCCGCGUGAGUGAAGAAGGCCUUCGGGUUGUAAAGCUCUUUCGGCCGGGAAGAAAUCGCAUGGGCCAAUACCCUGUGUGGAUGACGGUACCGGAAUAAGAAGCACCGGCUAACUACGUGCCAGCAGCCGCGGUAAUACGUAGGGUGCGAGCGUUAAUCGGAAUUACUGGGCGUAAAGCGUGCGCAGGCGGUUUUGUAAGACAGGCGUGAAAUCCCCGGGCUUAACCUGGGAACUGCGUUUGUGACUGCAAGGCUAGAGUACGGCAGAGGGGGGUGGAAUUCACGUGUAGCAGUGAAAUGCGUAGAGAUGUGGAGGAACACCAAUGGCGAAGGCAGCCCCCUGGGUCGAUACUGACGCUCAUGCACGAAAGCGUGGGUAGCAAACAGGAUUAGAUACCCUGGUAGUCCACGCCCUAAACUAUGUCAACUAGGUGUUGGGUGGGUAAAACCAUUUAGUACCGUAGCUAACGCGUGAAGUUGACCGCCUGGGGAGUACGGCCGCAAGGUUAAAACUCAAAGGAAUUGACGGGGACCCGCACAAGCGGUGGAUGAUGUGGAUUAAUUCGAUGCAACGCGAAAAACCUUACCUACCCUUGACAUGCCAGGAACUUGCCAGAGAUGGCUUGGUGCCCGAAAGGGAGCCUGGACACAGGUGCUGCAUGGCUGUCGUCAGCUCGUGUCGUGAGAUGUUGGGUUAAGUCCCGCAACGAGCGCAACCCUUGUCGUUAAUUGCCAUCAUUUAGUUGGGCACUUUAACGAGACUGCCGGUGACAAACCGGAGGAAGGUGGGGAUGACGUCAAGUCCUCAUGGCCCUUAUGGGUAGGGCUUCACACGUCAUACAAUGGUCGGUACAAAGGGUUGCCAAGCCGCGAGGCGGAGCCAAUCCCAGAAAGCCGAUCGUAGUCCGGAUUGCAGGCUGCAACUCGCCUGCAUGAAGUCGGAAUCGCUAGUAAUCGUGGAUCAGCAUGUCACGGUGAAUACGUUCCCGGGUCUUGUACACACCGCCCGUCACACCAUGGGAGCGGGUUCCGCCAGAAGUAGGUAGCCUAACCGCAAGGGGGGCGCUUACCACGGCGGGGUUCGUGACUGGGGUGAAGUCGUAACAAGGUAGCCGUAGGGGAACCUGCGGCUG